GGGCCCGUAGCUCAGCCUGGUUAGAGCGCUGGUCUUAUAAGCCAGCGGUCUGGGGUUCAAAUCCCCGCGGGCCCA
rnacentral:tRNA from 1 species